AUACGUAGGGGGCAAGCGUUAUCCGGAAUCACUGGGUGUAAAGGGUGCGUAGGCGGAACGGCAAGUCCGAUGUGAAAGACCCGUGCUCAACAUGGGGACUGCAUUAGAAACUGUCGAACUAGAGUGCAGGAGAGGAAAGCGGAAUUCCUAGUGUAGCGGUGAAAUGCGUAGAUAUUAGGAAGAACACCAGUGGCGAAGGCGGCUUUCUGGACUGUAACUGACGCUGAGGCACGAAAGCGUGGGGAGCGAACAGGAUUAGAUACCCUGGUAGUCCACGCCGUAAACGAUGAGUGCUAGGUGUCGGGGGUGAUAGCCUUCGGUGCCGAAGUAAACACAUUAAGCACUCCACCUGGGGAGUACGAUCGCAAGAUUGAA
rnacentral:rRNA from 1 species